GACGUGGUAGCGCAGUGGUCAAGUAGGCUUGACUUGGGAUCAAAAGAUCUUGAGUUCAAGCCCCUGCCACGACC